rnacentral:rRNA from 1 species
AGGACGAACGCUGGCGGCGUGCUUAACACAUGCAAGUCGAGCGGAAAGGCCCUUCGGGGUACUCGAGCGGCGAACGGGUGAGUAACACGUGAGCAACCUGCCCUUAGCUCCGGGAUAGCUCCGGGAAACCGGAAUUAAAUACCGGAUACGACCACGGCCGACAUCUGCUGUGGUGGAAAGGAUUCCGGCUAAGGAUGGGCUCGCGGCCUAUCAGCUAGUUGGUGGAGUAACGGCCCACCAAGGCGACGACGGGUA